UACGGGGGGAGCAAGCGUUGUUCGGAUUUACUGGGCGUAAAGGGCGCGUAGGCGGCGCAACAAGUCACUUGUGAAAUCUCCGGGCUUAACCCGGAGCGGCCAAGUGAUACUGUCGUGCUAGAGUGCGGAAGGGGCUACUGGAAUUCUCGGUGUAGCGGUGAAAUGCGUAGAUAUCGAGAGGAACACCGAUGGCGAAGGCAGGUCUCUGGGCCGCAACUGACGCUGAGGAGCGAAAGCAUGGGGAGCGAACAGGG
rnacentral:rRNA from 1 species